rnacentral:rRNA from 1 species
AACGAACGCUGGCGGCGCGCUUAAUACAUGCAAGUCGAACGAGAAGGUGUAGCAAUACACUUGUAAAGUGGCGAACGGGUGAGGAAUACAUGGGUAACCUACCCUCGAGUGGGGAACAACCAGCCGAAAGGUUGGCUAAUACCGCGUACGCUUCCGGGUCUUCGGAUUCGGAAGGAAAGUCAUACCGUGGGUAUGACGCUCAAGGAUGGGGCUCAUGUCCUAUCAGCUUGUUGGUAGGGUAACGGCCUACCAAGGCUCCGACGGGUAGCUGGUCUGAGAGGACGAUCAGCCACACUGGCACUGCGACACGGGCCAGACUCCUACGGGAGGCAGCAGUAAGGAAUAUGCGCAAUGGGCGAAAGCCUGACGCAGCGACGCCGCGUGGGGGAUGAAGGUCUUCGGAUUGUAAACCCCUUUCGGGAGGGAAAAUGGAACGAGCAAUCGUUCGGAUGGUACCUCCAGAAGCAGCCACGGCUAACUUCGUGCCA